AGCGGCGAACGGGUGAGUAACACGUAGGUGAUCUGCCCAUCAGACGGGGACAACGAUUGGAAACGAUCGCUAAUACCGGAUAGGACGAAAGUUUAAAGGUGCUUCUGGCACCGCUGAUGGAUGAGCCUGCGGCGCAUUAGCUAGUCGGUAGGGUAAAGGCCUACCAAGGCGACGAUGCGUAGCCGACCUGAGAGGGUGAACGGCCACACUGGGACUGAGACACGGCCCAGACUCCUACGGGAGGCAGCAGUAGGGAAUCUUCGGCAAUGGGCGAAAGCCUGACCGAGCAACGCCGCGUGAACGAUGAAGGCCUUCGGGUUGUAAAAUUCUGUUAUAAGGGAAGAACGACUUUAGUAGGAAAUGGCUAGAGUGUGACGGUACCUUAUGAGAAAGCCACGGCUAACUACGUGCCAGCAGCCGCGGUAAUACGUAGGUGGCGAGCGUUAUCCGGAAUUAUUGGGCGUAAAGAGCGCGCAGGUGGUUGAUUAAGUCUGAUGUGAAAGCCCACGGCUUAACCGUGGAGGGUCAUUGGAAACUGGUCGACUUGAGUGCAGAAGAGGGAAGUGGAAUUCCAUGUGUAGCGGUGAAAUGCGUAGAGAUAUGGAGGAACACCAGUGGCGAAGGCGGCUUCCUGGUCUGUAACUGACACUGAGGCGCGAAAGCGUGGGGAGCAAACAGGAUUAGAUACCCUGGUAGUCCACGCCGUAAACGAUGAGUGCUAAGUGU
rnacentral:rRNA from 1 species